AACGCCCCUUGCGCCCUUUGGCUAUUCCGAAGGGCAUGCCUGUUUGAGUAUCAUGAACACCUCAACUCUCAUGGCGCUUGUCAUGAUGAGCUUGGACUUUGGGGGUCUUGCCGGCAUACCGUCGGCUCCUCUCAAACGGAUCAGCUUGCCAGUGUUUGGUGGCAUCACAGGUGUGAUAACUAUCUACGCUUGUGGUUCCCCACCAGGCAACCUCCAGUGAUGGAGGUUCGCUGGGGCUCACAAAUGUCUCUCCUCAGUAAGGACGGCUUUUUGAACGUUUGAUCUCAAAUCAGGUAGGACUACCCGCUGAGCUUAA
rnacentral:misc_RNA from 1 species